GUGUCAGCCGCCGCGGUAAUACAGAGGGGGCAAGCGUUAUUCGGAAUUAUUGGGCGUAAAGGGCGCGUAGGCGGCUUUGCAAGUGACGGGUGAAAGCCCUCGGCUUAACCGAGGAACUGCCUGUCAGACUGUGAGGCUUGAGACCGGGAGAGGUGAGUGGAAUUCCCAGUGUAGCGGUGAAAUGCGUAGAUAUUGGGAGGAACACCAGUGGCGAAGGCGGCUCACUGGACCGGAACUGACGCUGAGGCGCGAAAGCGUGGGGAGCAAACAGGAUUAGAAACCCGUGUAGUCC
rnacentral:rRNA from 1 species